GAACAGCAGAAGGAGACUUCCGAUUUGAAGAUCUGGUAUCUUUUUUCUGGGUUUGAAGAAUAGCACCACCGUCCGGAGACGAUCCAACGGAUUCGGUUUCUUGGUUCGGUGAUCAACGACAUUUUCACCAACUUGAUCGUUGUAAUCAAUCGCAAUAUCUGAAGAAAUCGAUGACCGUGAACGAAUCGUCUUUGGUUGAUCCUGAUUCGGUCUCUGUAGAUCCAAACACAUUCCAUCCAACCGAAUAUUAUUCAAUCAUCCAACUUAAACUGUGCAAGUGAAGAAUUUGAACAUAAUUACCUUUGAUUGAUCAAAUUCUUUAUAUCUCGAUACCAUUUUGAUUUUUUUAUUUCUAAAUUAUGUACAUUGUU